rnacentral:rRNA from 1 species
AUUGAACGCUGGCGGCAGGCCUAACACAUGCAAGUCGAGCGGAUGAAGGGAGCUUGCUCCUGGAUUCAGCGGCGGACGGGUGAGUAAUGCCUAGGAAUCUGCCUGGUAGUGGGGGAUAACGUCCGGAAACGGGCGCUAAUACCGCAUACGUCCUGAGGGAGAAAGUGGGGGAUCUUCGGACCUCACGCUAUCAGAUGAGCCUAGGUCGGAUUAGCUAGUUGGUGGGGUAAAGGCCUACCAAGGCGACGAUCCGUAACUGGUCUGAGAGGAUGAUCAGUCACAAGUAACCUGAGACCGGGGCGAGGCCCCAACGGGAGGCAGAAGGGGGGAAUUUUGGGGAAUGGGGGAAAGCAUGAACCAUCAUUGCCGGGGUGGUGAAGAAGGUCUUGGGUUUUAAAAACCUUUUAAGUUGGGAGGAGGGCAAAGAGUAUAAUACCUGUCUUUUUUGACUUUACCAACAGAACGAGCCCCGGCGGACUUCUU